rnacentral:rRNA from 1 species
UACGGAGGGUGCGAGCGUUGUCCGGAAUCAUUGGGCGUAAAGGGCGCGUAGGUGGCCCCUCAAGCGUGCGGGGAAAGUCAGGGGCUCAACCCCUGAUCGGCCGUGCGAACUGGGGAGCUUGAGCACUGUAGAGGCAGGCGGAAUUCCGGGUGUAGCGGUGGAAUGCGUAGAGAUCCGGAAGAACACCGGUGGCGAAGGCGGCCUGCUGGGCAGUUUUGCUGACACUGAGGCGCGACAGCGUGGGGAGCAAACAGG